UUAAAUUACAAGAACUAAUAAACAUUGUUUCCCGAAAUAAAUAGAGCUAAUUAAAUUUAUCUUAUUUAGGGAUUAAAGUAUAAGGUGUAGCAUAACCUUAACUAAAAUUUUAAUUAGGGGUGAAAGGCUUUUCAAUAUUUAUAGAUAUCUGGAUUAACCUGAAAAAUAUUUAGUAUUUAUUUCAAGUAUAAAGUUUUUAGGUUUUAUACAUAUAAUAUUUUGGUUUAAAUUUUUUAUUCUUGUUUUAAUAAACCUGAAUAUGCCUAACAACUAUUAAUAAUUUUUGCUUCAAAUUUAUUAAUUUAAGGUUAUAAUUGGUUUAACAUUUUAUCAAUAUAAUUCUGUUUAAAUAAGUCUAUAGAUAAAUAAUACUAUUUCUUAAGGAACUCGGCAAAAUUAACCUCAUCUAUUUAUCAAAAACAUAGCUAUUUGAAUUUAUAAUUAGUAAACUCUGCCCAGUGAACAGGAGUUUUAACGGCCGCAGUACACUGACUGUGCAAAGGUAGCAUAAUAAUUUGGCUUAUAAUUGAAGUCGGGUAUGAAAGGAAUAAUGGGGUGUAGCUGUCUCAAAAGAAUUUACAUUAAAAUUACUUAGGAAGUGCAAAUACUUCUACUAUAAAAAAUAGACGAGAAGACCCUAUGAAUUUAUAAUCUCUGGUUUUAUGCCACGUCUUUUUUGUUGGGGCAACAAGCUUUCAGUUAUAAUAACUUAAUAUAGCUAAUUAAAGGAACUCUUGUUUUACAGUUUUUCUUAUAAACCCAGUGAUACUGUUAAUAAAGAAAUUACUAUAGGGAUAACAGCAUAAUUUUAAUAUUAAGAUUGUGACCUCGAUGUUGGACUAGGAAUUGGUUAAGAUAGCCUCUUAAUUUAAAGGUUCUGUUCGAACUAUUAUCUCCU
rnacentral:rRNA from 1 species